UAACGACUCUACUCGAAACACGGCGAAGACGCCCUUAGCAACAAACCAGACAAUCACACUCAACAACAAAAAAUAUAGGAGCUCCUGCUGUUGACAAGACUGGUUAAAACAUAAGUCGUUUUUAAAACGGCGCUAACGCACUGAGGACAUAUAAUAUCACCCGAAAGAGAUCUCCGAAUUCAGCGAGAACGGAGGGCUUUUGCCCAGAGUUGAGGUAACGUUAGCUAGCUAGCUAACCGACGAUAACCCGUCUCAAGAGAAAACAGCUUCCCAAGCAUUCCGGAAGAAGGACGAAUCCUGGUCCGAUCGAAGCAAGAAACUCACUAGUUACAUUGCUAACUAAUCAGUCAACGCAAAUAAACUCGAGAUUUUUUUCCUUUGGGAAUGGUUCUCUGUGUGGAUAUAGUAAUCAACCGACAGAGAAAGACGAGGGCCACACGGGUCAGACAGCUAAGCUGUCAUUUUGGGACUCCAACUAUUUUGGACAGCGGGAGUAAUUUAACGUUUGCUCAGUCGGACGUGUGUUUUUGUGGCUGUGCUAACGUUAGCUGACGGAAACGAGAAACGACCCCCAUCGCUGGAACUUUUUCCAGACUGCAGGGCUAGCGAGUUGGCAAAGCCAUGGUUUUUAGGACGAGAGCAAGGUCCGAUUGUGUAGGUAGAGAGUCCUAGCUAGAAUAUUAAAGUUGAGCAAGUGAGCAAAGCUAUAUUAAAACCAACUUAUGUAGCUAUAUUUCAUCCAACGAAGUUGGCUAGCAGGGGAUAUUUUUGGAUCACUUGAACUAGCUACACGAGCACGAAUUGCAAGUGAUACAAGCUGCCCUCUUAAGUAUUUUAUUAUAACUAGCCAAGUGUUGGCAAAUUUUUAUUUUUAUUUUUUAUACGGUUGUUUUUACAAAAGAUUUUUAACUUCCACCUCGGAUGCUGGCUUCAACGUUAAACUGCAAUCAUGAUGGUAUUACAAAGAAAAGCAGAAGACCCCAUAACAGCAGACAGUUGAUCAUCUCAAAAUAGCUUGGGAGUCAAGGACUGUUGCUUAUUUUUGGUCACGUAGUGUAUUUUCAAGAAUGUGGUCACCUGCUCAUCGAACAGCCCCA
rnacentral:lncRNA from 1 species